AGAAUUGGAUGGAACUAAACA
rnacentral:miRNA from 1 species